AGAGUGUGUGUUCAUAUAGUGUGUGUCCGUGUGUUUUUUUGGGUGUGCUUUGAUCCCGUCUCUCCCUCGCACAGCUGCGGCGGUUAAGCUGGCCCCGGAGGAGUUCCACAUAGGCGGCGUUCACCUCUGCCAGGAGUGCACACCGCUGUGAUCUGGAAGAAAGCCGAGAUGCCUCGGAGGUGGCGCUGAGGACCCUAACAGCUCCGGCAGAUGAGAAGCAGGCUGAACCGCCACGGUUCAAGGGCACCUCCAGUCAAUCCGCUAAUCAGCAAGCACUUCUUAAUCAGCCGCAGGGUG